ACCGUUAGUGUGGGAAAGCUCUAAACCAUAUAGCUAGAAGUUUGUGGGGCGAUGCUAAACGGUUUCCCAAACCGAGCACCGAGAAAACAAUUCUUUGCCCAACGACAUACAUAAACACACACUUACCUAAUGCAGUUUACAUCAAAUUUUCAACCUGGUGGUAGAAAACUUCCUCUAUUCUCCGGUAACAGCUUCCGUUUCAGCUCUAGAGAUCUAUCUCUUUCUAAAAAACGGGAGAGCAUGUGCUUUUCCGUAAUUAAAACUACAUUUCAACUACAACGCUACGCAAACGUGAAAUUCGCCGCCAUUGAGGUUUUGGGUUCGUUGAGUUCGUCUUCUGCGGAAACAGGUGGAAAUUUCAAUAAAAUAUGGCGCCGAAAGUGGACCCUGUGUAAGUGUGGGAGGCGUGUGCUGCACCGUAACGAAUCGAUUUCCGCAUUAAUCUGGGUUUUCGGGAGCGCCGUGCUCCGUGGCAGAAGCGUAGUGGAUUUUAAUAGUACGUGAGCAUAAGGAAAUGUGUGUGUGUAACAGGCAAAAGGUUAUGUUAACAUCCUUUCCACUACCGUAAAGCUCGCCCCCACCGGAUCUGUGAAUGUGGCUCCCCAGGCUACCAAGUGUGACGAAGGUGGUGAGCCUGGCAAAGUAUAAUAUUCAACACGGACCUGUCAAAUCCCAUUGAUUUACGUGCCCCAUCCCAACGAGCAUGGGUUUAUUAAAAACUGUCUGGAAAGAAAAGCGGCGCAUCCAAUUUCAAAACGAACAGAAAAAAACUGGACCAUGUUUAUCGAAAACCGUUCUUUUCUCGUGAGUUUUAAGAUGGAAAAGUUGUCCAUAAGCCAACGGACAACUUGUUUGUUAUUGAAUAUUUAGUUGAAAUUGUAUGUGACAUAAUGUUUGUCAGGCGGUCCUGUGCUAUAGUCGUCAACUCGAACGACUCAAUUACAUGCCCGUCAUGAGUUCAAGCCUGAAAUGGACCGUCCCCCUGUUGCAAGGAUUGAGCUGCGUGCUUUUCGUGUAAUCGACCGAGAGGAACGUAAGGACGCACUCAUUUUCCUCACGCACACAAGCACCGCCGGAAUCCUUUCGGGGACGUGAUCGUUCCAUUUUUCACUCAUUUUUGGAAAUUGUAGCGAUUUUUGGUGUUUUCUUCAAAUUCAAAAUAAUUACAAUUAAUGGAGAACUGAUUAAUUUAAAAAAAGAAAUUUGUUCGCGCGAAAAUCGACUCUUUAAAGGCGUCUGAACGGGCAGCAUGAUGCUGUCGUUUUGUACAAGUCUUCACUUGAAAUAUUCUCAUUCUUGUGUAUUUAUCACUAUUGUUAGCUUGUCCUAGCAACACAGCGCAUAUAUUGUGGUAGAGAAGAUGGAAACAGCAGCCGUUGUGGCUCUUCAUACAACCAAAAGAAAAGGAUCAAAUGAACACACAAACACACUUACAGACUAGAUUUGUGCUCAGAACUCACCUGGUGGGAAAACUGUACGUUAACAUUCCACUCGAAAACCCUGAACCUUUUCUUCUUUCCAUCAGAUGCAUCAUCCUUAUUGCGUCUUGCACUAUUUCUUCAAACAAGCCUUUCUUUUUUAUUGUUUUAUCUUUAACUUGCCAUUGCUUGUCUUUUUUGCCACCUUCAUCAAUGAAACCAAUGUUUCCUUCGGGCCAGAUAUUUCUCUAGUUGUUUGUGCGAUUUCUGCCGCCCGAAUGUAUUCCUGCUAACCUGCCGAUGGUUGCUCCGGAUCACACCAACACCCACAUGACCAACUAGUAUACGAAUACACACACACACACAGAUAUAUAC